rnacentral:rRNA from 1 species
UACAGAGGUCCCGAGCGUUUGUUCGGAUUCAUUGGGCGUAAAGGGUGCGUAGGCGGUCUGUUAAGACCGAUGUGAAAUCCCCCGGGCUUAACCUGGGGAACUGCGUUUGAAACUACAAGGCUAGAGUGUGGCAGAGGGGGGGUGGAAUUCCACGUGUAGCAGUGAAAUGCGUAGAGAUGUGGAGGAACACCAGUGGCGAAGGCGACUUUCUGGCCUAUAACUGACGCUGAGGCGCGAAAGCGUGGGGAGCAAACAGG